UACGGAUGAAGCCAGUGUUACUCAUCUUUAAUGGGCGUAAAGUGCGCGUAGGUUGUUAAAUAAAUGUUUUAUUAAAUUUUGAGCUAAAGGCUUUUUUUGUUUAAUUGUUUUGUUUAAUUUGAGUUUUUAGGAGGUAAACGGUAUGGUCAGAGGAGGGUUAACAUUUUAUGAUACUGAUUAGACCACCAGCGGCGAAAGCGGUUUGCUUACAUUGACUGACACUAGAAUGCGCGAAAGCGUGGGGAGCAAACAGGGAU
rnacentral:rRNA from 1 species